AAUGCAAAAAUGUUUGUAGAUAUGUACCAGCUGGAUUGCCCUAUUGCACAUGAUGAUAUGGCAUUGUUUAAUAACAAAUCAAAUAACCCAACAGCCAGCCAGGGUCCAGCAACAUCUGAGAGCAACGACCUACCUAGAGCAAGGCCAUUAUCAGGCUCAACUUUUGGUAAGCUGAAAAGCUCCAGUGGGGGCAAAGACAUCCAGUUCAUAGACAUGGGACAUAAAAUUCUUGUUAGAGGUGAUAGCAUGAGCACACCACCAGCAACUAAGGCUGAUAUUGAGCUGCUAGCAAAGAACAGAGGCACUGCCAUGCAGCGUUACAAAGAGAAGAAAAAAACCCGAAGAUAUGAUAACCACAUACGUUAUGAAUCAAGAAAGGCAAGAGCUGAUUCUAGGAAGCGAGUGAAGGGUCGAUUUGUGAAGGCUAGUGAUGCUCCUGAUGGGUGAAAUUGUGCUUUAGAUAGAGCUCCUUGUUCUGAAAUGGCAGUGGCUGAGAAGAAGAACUGGUGGCAUAGCAGGCUGGAUGUGAAGAUGGUAGCAGCAGGUCUAAGUUUUGAAGCUGGUGAUUAGCUUAUCCUUCACCCAGCCCGAUUAACGGCUUAACAUGGUAUAACCCAUCAGUCAGUUUUUUGUCUCGAGUGAAACAGAAAUGAGUAGGUUAAGAAGAUGUUUUCUUGCAUGUAAAAUACCGUAACCAGGUCAUUUCAUUUGGCCGUUCUUGGAUUUUAGACACUCCUUGCGGCUUUGAUUGCUAAUUCCACUGUACUCGUGAAAGCGCCCCAUGGCUCUUGAUUCUUUGAACUUAAUGUGGCGAAAACCCAAUUCAUAAUUUGAUUACUGGAUUUCAG
rnacentral:misc_RNA from 1 species